rnacentral:rRNA from 1 species
UACGAAGGGGGCGAGCGUUGUUCGGAAUUACUGGGCGUAAAGGGCGCGUAGGCGGCGACCCAAGUCAGAUGUGAAAGUCCUGGGCUUAACCUGGGGACUGCAUUUGAUACUGGGUUGCUUGAAUUCGGGAGAGGAUAGCGGAAUUCCCAGUGUAGAGGUGAAAUUCGUAGAUAUUGGGAAGAACACCGGUGGCGAAGGCGGCUAUCUGGACCGACAUUGACGCUGAGGCGCGAAAAGCGUGGGGGAGCGAACAGGG